GACGAACGCUGGCGGCGUGCUUAACACAUGCAAGUCGAACGAAGUGGCGAACGGGUGAGUAACGCGUAAUCAACCUGCCCUUCAGAGGGGGACAACAGUUGGAAACGACUGCUAAUACCGCAUACUGAAGGAGGGGAUUGCGUCUGAUUAGCUAGUUGGAGGCGUAACGGCCCACCAAGGCGAUGAUCAGUAGCCGGUCUGUGAGGAUGAUCGGCCCCACUGGGACUGCGACACGGCCCCGAUUCCUACGUGAGGCAGCAGUGGGGAAUCUUCGGCAAUAGACGAAAGUCUGAUCGAGCAACGCCGCGUGAGUGAAGAAGGUUUUCGGAUCGUAAAACUCUGUGGUUAGAGAAGCGGUAUCUAACCAGAAAGCCACGGCUAACUACGUGCCAGCAGCCGCGGUAAUAC
rnacentral:rRNA from 1 species